UUUAAUCUAUUUCUUUUUUAGAAAAUGAAUCAACAUUAGUCAUUAGAGAAUUUUACGGAAUAUGUUGGAAUCAUAAAAAUAGAAAAAUAGAAUAGAUUAUCUUUAAUCAUAUAAGUAAUAAUUUUAGGAAAAUAAUAAAUUGAAAACUUAUGAAUAAAAAAACGGUUGUGAAUCAACCAUUUUCAAAAAAUAAAAAUUAAACUUUUUAAACUCUUUAUUAAAAAAAAAAAAGCAAAAAUGGCCACUAAUAUAUUAGGAAAAACCAUUCAUAUACAAAAUUUCAAAAAAAUUAAUUAAUUAAAAGUGUAAAUGGAAAAAAAAGCAAAAUAAAUCAAGCAUAUUCAGUUAAAUGAUUUAACUUUAAUAAUAAAGAAAAAGUAAAAUGGCCACUAAUAAUGUAACCUUUCCAUUUUUUACUUUCUACUAUAUGAUAAAUGACAAUAAGCACACAACUCUUCAACAUGUUUCUGUCAGCAAAAAGGGCAUUACGGUCGUUCCCAUUAUACAACUUUGUCUGCCACGCAUAGCCCAAAUCCUUUACUCAUUACCUCGUCGCUUCAUCUUUCUAUUGUCAACUCCAGUCUCCAGCAUUCAUUCUCUAUGUUGAAAUUAUUUACCUUAUUCGCACCUCUUGAAGUUCGGCUUGUGCAUAAAUUUCUUGGAAAAGAAGUUAGGAUUUUGAGAGAAGAAAAAAAUGAGGAGAAAGGAGAAAAGGAAGCAAAAACAUUCAAGAUCGUCGAAGUUCGGCUUGUGGAAAUCGCCUGGGGUGAUUCCUAAAAAGUAGGCCUGCAUCUUAUUAUGAUGCAGACACAAGUAACUAGGAUCGACAUUCCAGCGCACAGUUGAUCCAGUGAGUAACUGAGUUAGUUGAUUAGCCUCCCUUCAUUCCGGAGGACAUCUUUAUCUUUCAGUUUUCAGUUGUUAGGAUGAUGGGGGGUCCUGUCCCAACAUCCAUCUUUAAUUUAAAGGCUUUAUAGACAGAUAGAGUUAGUUCUUUAGUCUUUUCAUAUCUCUUGUAAACGAUAAAACUUGAGUUUCCAUUUUGG